AGCAUGAGUUAUGUCAUGUUAUCGACAUGUGAAUUCAUAGCAUGUCAGAAGGCAGACCCGGAGAACUGAAACAUCUUAGUACCCGGAGGAAGAGAAAGAAAAAUCGAUUCCCUGAGUAGCGGCGAGCGAAACGGGAAGAGCCCAAACCAACAAGCUUGCUUGUUGGGGUUGUAGGACACUCUAUACGGAGUUACAAAAGAACAUGUUAGACGAAUCAUCUGGAAAGAUGAAUCAAAGAAGGUAAUAAUCCUGUAGUCGAAAACAUAUUCUCUCUUGAGUGGAUCCUGAGUACGACGGAGCACGUGAAAUUCCGUCGGAAUCUGGGAGGACCAUCUCCUAAGGCUAAAUACUCUCUAGUGACCGAUAGUGAACCAGUACCGUGAGGGAAAGGUGAAAAGUACCCCGGAAGGGGAGUGAAAGAGAACUUGAAACCGUGUGCUUACAAGUAGUCAGAGCCCGUUAAUGGGUGAUGGCGUGCCUUUUGUAGAAUGAACCGGCGAGUUACGAUCUGAUGCAAGGUUAAGCAGCAAAUGUGGAGCCGCAGCGAAAGCGAGUCUGAAUAGGGCGUUGAGUAUUUGGUCGUAGACCCGAAACCAGGUGAUCUACCCUUGGUCAGGUUGAAGUUCAGGUAACACUGAAUGGAGGACCGAACCGACUUACGUUGAAAAGUGAGCGGAUGAACUGAGGGUAGCGGAGAAAUUCCAAUCGAACUUGGAGAUAGCUGGUUCUCUCCGAAAUAGCUUUAGGGCUAGCCUCAAGUGAUGAUUAUUGGAGGUAGAGCACUGUUUGGACGAGGGGCCCCUCUCGGGUUACCGAAUUCAGACAAACUCCGAAUGCCAAUUAAUUUAACUUGGGAGUCAGAACAUGGGUGAUAAGGUCCGUGUUCGAAAGGGAAACAGCCCAGACCACCAGCUAAGGUCCCAAAAUAUAUGUUAAGUGGAAAAGGAUGUGGCGUUGCCCAGACAACUAGGAUGUUGGCUUAGAAGCAGCCAUCAUUUAAAGAGUGCGUAAUAGCUCACUAGUCGAGUGACACUGCGCCGAAAAUGUACCGGGGCUAAACAUAUUACCGAAGCUGUGGAUUGUCCUUUGGACAAUGGUAGGAGAGCGUUCUAAGGGCGUCGAAGCAUGAUCGCAAGGACAUGUGGAGCGCUUAGAAGUGAGAAUGCCGGUGUGAGUAGCGAAAGACGGGUGAGAAUCCCGUCCACCGAUUGACUAAGGUUUCCAGAGGAAGGCUCGUCCGCUCUGGGUUAGUCGGGUCCUAAGCUGAGGCCGACAGGCGUAGGCGAUGGAUAACAGGUUGAUAUUCCUGUACCACCUAGUAUCGUUUUAAUCGAUGGGGGGACGCAGUAGGAUAGGCGAAGCGUGCUGUUGGAGUGCACGUCCAAGCAGUAAGGCUGAGUGUUAGGCAAAUCCGGCACUCAUAAGGCUGAGCUGUGAUGGGGAGAGGAAAUUGUUUCCUCGAGUCGUUGAUUUCACACUGCCGAGAAAAGCCUCUAGAUAGAUAACAGGUGCCCGUACCGCAAACCGACACAGGUAGUCAAGAUGAGAAUUCUAAGGUGAGCGAGCGAACUCUCGUUAAGGAACUCGGCAAAAUGACCCCGUAACUUCGGGAGAAGGGGUGCUCUUUAGGGUUCACGCCCAGAAGAGCCGCAGUGAAUAGGCCCAAGCGACUGUUUAUCAAAAACACAGGUCUCUGCUAAACCGUAAGGUGAUGUAUAGGGGCUGACGCCUGCCCGGUGCUGGAAGGUUAAGAGGAGUGGUUAGCUUCUGCGAAGCUAC
rnacentral:rRNA from 1 species